ensembl:lncRNA
GUGUGUGUGUGUGUGUGUGUGUGUGUGUGUGUGUGUGUGUGUGUGUGUGUGUGUGUGUGUGUGUGUGUGUGUGUGUGUGUGGCGGUAGUAGCUCAUGACGCACUCAAAAGAGCUUGUCAGGUAAUGGUGUGCAAAUCAUCCCAUGCUGAUGUAAGUGGAAAGCGGGAAUCAGGAGCCACGGUAGAUGCGACUCCGUGUGAUAGGCUACUGCUGCCCACUCACGCAUACUACUACGGCUUUAAGAAGACGUCCGGUCUAUAUUUACCUUACGGUUCGGUUCCCUGCCUCGUGACACUAGACGGAAUCCUGGACGACUCACAAGAGAGAGAGAAAGUGCAGAAGACAAAAUGGGAGCAAGAGGGAAGGAGAGAUGGAGAGAGAGAGGGAAUGAGAACACCUGGAUGAGGAUGAUGAUAAUGAUGAUGAUAACGAGGAGGAGGAGGAGGAGGAAGAUUUUGGCCACAUCCUUCAGCUUCUUGGAACACUCUGUCCGUC